rnacentral:rRNA from 1 species
UGUGGAAACGACCGGCGCACGGGUGAGUAACGCGUAUGCAACUUACCCCUGACUGGAGAAUAGCCCAGAGAAAUCUGGAUUAAUACCCCAUAAUAUCCUGAGAACGCAUGUUUUCUGGAUUAAAGCUCCGGCGGUUAAGGAUGGGCAUGCGUCCUAUUAGCUUGUUGGUGAGGUAACGGCUCACCAAGGCUUUGAUAGGUAGGGGGCCUGAGAGGGUGAUCCCCCACACUGGUACUGAGACACGGACCAGACUCCUACGGGAGGCAGCAGUGAGGAAUAUUGGGCAAUGGGCGCAAGCCUGACCCAGCCAUGCCGCGUGCAGGAUGAAGGCCCUACGGGUUGUAAACUGCUUUUAUAUGAGACGAAACUCUCGGUCGUGACCGGGAUUGACUGUACUAUCAGAAUAAGCACCGGCUAACUCCGUGCCAGCAGCCGCGGUAAUACGGAGGGUGCAAGCGUUAUCCGGAAUUAUUGGGUUUAAAGGGUGCGCAGGUGGAAAGAUAAGUCAGUGGUGAAAUCCUACGGCUCAACCGUAGAACUGCCAUUGAUACUGUUGCUCUUGAGUAUGGUUGAGGUAGGCGGAAUGUGGCAUGUAGCGGUGAAAUGCAUAGAUAUGCCACAGAACACCGAUAGCGAAGGCAGCUUACCAAGCCGUUACUGACGCUGAGGCACGAAAGCGUGGGGAGCGAACAGGAUUAGAUACCCUGGUAGUCCACGCUGUAAACGAUGAUCACUCGUUGUUGGCGAUACACUGUCAGCGACCAAGCGAAAGCGUUAAGUGAUCCACCUGGGGAGUACGUUCGCAAGAUUGAACCUCAAAGGAAUUGACGGGGGCCCGCACAAGCGGAGGAACAUGUGGUUUAAUUCGAUGAUACGCGAGGAACCUUACCUGGGCUUAAAUGUAGAGUGCAUAAACGGGAAACUGUUUUUUCCUUCGGGACUCUUUACAAGGUGCUGCAUGGUUGUCGUCAGCUCGUGCCGUGAGGUGUCGGGUUAAGUCCCAUAACGAGCGCAACCCCUAUCGUUAGUUGCCAGCGAGUCAAGUCGGGGACUCUAACGAGACUGCCGGUGUAAACCGCGAGGAAGGUGGGGAUGACGUCAAAUCAGCACGGCCCUUACGUCCAGGGCUACACACGUGUUACAAUGGCCGAUACAAAGGGCAGCUACCAGGUGACUGGAUGCUAAUCUCUAAAGUCGGUCUUAGUUCGGAUCGAAGUCUGCAACUCGACUUCGUGAAGCUGGAUUCGCUAGUAAUCGUAGAUCAGCAACGCUACGGUGAAUACGUUCCCGGGCCUUGUACACACCGCCCGUCAAGCCA